UCGUGGUUCAGUGCUGAAUGUACAGCAACACACAUGAAAUACUAUUUUUUAAUCAUGCAAUUCAUUCAUAAAAAAAAGAAGAAAUCUGUUUUGAACAAAAUAUUGUUAAUAUAAUUAAACAUCUUUAGAAAGGGGUUGUAGAGUAUGUAAAGUACAUCAUUAUAGCAAAGGUAAAAGAACUUAAUCUAUUACUACAUUUUUACCGCAGCGCCAUUCAGACACAUUGUCAACUAGAAUAAAACCAUUGUGACAUUAGCUAGUAAGAACACUGAAUAAAGACUUUCUUCUGUUUCCGACUCUCAACUGAGAUACAUUACAGUAAUUAAGUGGCUAUAUCGGUGGAAAAUCACAUUUCCUUUGACUUGGAAAUAGGGACUCUCAAUAUGUUGAUUUUCUGAAGACUUGGACCGAACAGGUCAACUCCCUUGUUACUAACAUUUUUUGUCUUUUAUUGGUCAUAAAUUUUCGAGUUUUUUCCAUGCUAGGUGACAUUUUUGAUAAUAACUCGAUUUGCCCACACGAUAUCGCUCAAAAUUGGCUGAGAGUCUUGUUUUGUCGUCAUGAAGCUGCCAUCAAAUUUUCAGAACGGUUUUCUAGCUGUGAAGGGAGUUACAGCGCUAUGUGUGGUCAGAAAAGUCAUUCUUUGAAAAUUUCUUCGUUCGUUCCAUGCUAGGUGACAUUGGUCGACCAUAUGGGUGUUAGUAGGUAAUACUUGGACUGAACAGGACAACUCAAGGUUGGGGAGUAUGGAACGUCAUACAAGUUGAUCGUGGUGGCAUCAAUAUAAUAACUAAGCAAUGGCUCAUAGAAAUUAGAUGAAAUAGGUUGAUUCGGAUAGGAAAUGAGCCAUAUCAUUUUAAGACGUAACGAACGAAUACAACAACGAUGGCGAUGAAGGCACAUGAACAUAAAAUAAACUAAAAACCAUGUUGUCUCACGAUUCAAGGCUUGUUAUGAUGAAAUGCCUAGGGGGAAAGAACUGAGUAAAUGAAAAUAUAAAUAAAAGUUUUAUUAUAAAACGAAUUACAUACGUAAUUCAUACUUUUCCGCUCCGCGGCAAUUUGGUUUACCUCCCGCUUAGUAUUUAACCAAAAUUUCAAUAAAAACUCUUUUCAUAGCACUUCUGAGCUGGAAAAGUAACUAUUUCGACCAUUUUCCAUAUAAAAAGUCAUUUUCGAACAGAAUUUCAAAAAUUUCAAGAAAUGUCGGUUUUGGACCAAAUUCAUGGGCAAGGUGCUUGGUUGUUCGAAGGUUCCCAUUAUUUUCAAAAAAACAUCAGUUUGCCUUGACAGAAACUCUGAAAAAUGGCUUUCUGAGUGAUUUUUCAUACGAAAGUGUAUUUUUCGGAGAAAAUUUCAAGAAAUGUCGAUUUCAGGCCAAAUUGAUGGGCAAAUAGGUAUUCGGUUGUUCACAGACCCCCAUUAUUUUUGCAAAAAAACAUUAGUUUAUCUUGACCAAAACCCUAAAAAAUGGCUUUCUGUGUGAUUUUUCAUACAAAAGUCUAUUUUUCGAGGAAAAUUUCAAGAAAUGUCGAUUUUGGACCAAAUUUAUGGGCAAGUAGGUGUUCAGUUGUUCACAGACUCCCAUUAUUUUUGCAAAAAAAUGGCAGUUUGCCUUGGUCGAAACUCUGAAAAAUGUUUUUUUCGGGUACUUCCCGUACAAAAGUGUCAUUUUUCAAGGUUUUCCAGGUCCUCAGUCGGAGGCUUAUGGUACGAAAUUGGUAAAUCAGAAUGGGCUCAAAAUCAAUCCGAAGCUUUGUCUCGACAUGCCAAAACUUUUGGCUUUUACAGAUCUCAAUUAUCUUGUCAACUUUUUGAGAUAAUCGGCGAACAAAAAGCUAGGACGCGAACGACGCCAUACGCACAUCGCAAUUUUGCACAUUUUUCAUAGUAAACAACAUGUUUUUGGAGGCAGAUAGGUCUUGAUCGAUAGGAUUUGUUCCCAUCUACAUUGCCUAGUGUACAGAUAUGUGCUUUUUGAAGUUUGGCGUGACGUUAUAGUGGUCCGAAAGAGGAGAUGUCAUGAAAUUUUGGCUAGUAAAACCAAUACUUUUCCAUACAAACAAAGUUUGCGGAAAAGUAAUAUUGUAAAUAAUCGCAUAUUCUACCGAGUUUGGAUCAAUACGCGUCAAUGCGUGUCAAUGCGCUGAAUAACUAGCUGCGAAUGCAUGGUCAAUAAAAUGUGCGUAUUUGCAACUGUCAUUCCUGCUCGCCACGAACGCGAUGAAGCAACAGAACAAGAAAACAACAACAAUAACACUACGGAGUAAAUAUACCAAUAGUUCUUUCCCCCUAGUGAAAUGCAUCCAUCGGAUUUUUUUAUUGAUUAUUUUUGUAAAAAUCAAGAAAAUCAAGAAAAACAAUAAAAUCAAUGAAAUCAAGAAGAUUUUGAAUGUCCGGUUGUCAUUCGUUGGGUAGGUAAAAUCAAUAAAUGUUUAUCAGGACCAAGAAAAAAUCACUCCAAAAAUCUAGAAAUCACAAAAAAAUCAAUCACAAAAUCCCAAAAUCACCAGAAAAAAAUCGAUCCGGAAAAAAAUCAAUUCAAAUUGAGCUUCCCAUCGAACAAAUACAGUUUUAUUAGGAACUGCCCAGAUUCAAUGCAUGAAUAUCAUGGGUUCCUGUAAAUAAAUAUUUUGACUUCGUCAAUAUGACUAUCAACAAUUUAGAAAAACCAAAUUCACGACCACCUCCAAUGGAACGGAAAAGAUUUCCGAGAGCUAUGCGUAGUGGAUAGUAAUAUGAAAAUGCGAUUGAAUUGACUGAACCAAAAGGGCCAAACAAUUAUGGAAACUUGCAUACCUGUGCCAAAUAAAAAAUAUAUUCAUGUACACAAUUCAUUUAUUUCUGAAAAAUUUCUUCAAAAAUUAAAAUUAAACACACCUUUUUAGCUUGUUCUAUUUUGUUUCUAUUUUUAUUGGCUUUUGUUUUUUUUUUCCUGAGAACAAACUAAAACUAAUCAAAUAACCGAUAGAUGACUGUUUCGGUACGGGUUUUUUACAUGGAAUUUUGUGUCUUUUCAAAUCUUCCUCUUCCCAAACUAACGAAUGCUUGUUGUCUAAAACAAUCUAAAUGUGACUGUAAUAUAGUUCCAGCCUAACAGUUUGAACAUUGGGUCUAAAAAAAAAUAUUG